rnacentral:rRNA from 1 species
AGUGAACGCUGGCGGUAGGCCUAACACGUGCAAGUCGAACGGCAGCACAGUAAGAGCUUGCUCUUACGGGUGGCGAGUGGCGGACGGGUGAGGAAUACAUCGGAAUCUACUUUUUCGUGGGGGAUAACGUAGGGAAACUUACGCUAAUACCGCAUACGACCUACGGGUGAAAGCAGGGGAUCUUCGCACCUUGCGCGAUUGAAUGAGCCGAUGUCGGAUUAGCUAGUUGGCGGGGUAAAGGCCCACCAAGGCGACGAUCCGUAGCUGGUCUGAGAGGAUGAUCAGCCACACUGGAACUGAGACACGGUCCAGACUCCUACGGGAGGCAGCAGUGGGGAAUAUUGGACAAUGGGCGCAAGCCUGAUCCAGCCAUACCGCGUGGGUGAAGAAGGCCUUCGGGUUGUAAAGCCCUUUUGUUGGGAAAGAAAAGCAGCAGGUUAAUACCCCGCUGUUCUGACGGUACCCAAAGAAUAAGCAACGGCUAACUUCGUG